CAACAACACAUGCAAGUUCGGUUGCAGAAACAAAUCCGCCACAACACAAACAACACACACCAAAACUGGUGUAUGGAGAUAUUUUUCAGUUGAUGCGGAUCAGCAGGGACAAGUUAUAGACGACCAGAAGAAGACAAUCUCAAAUAAAAGGAGGAAACACCUCAAUCUUAUCUAAGCAGCUCAAAGAGAGGCCUCCGGAUCUGUACACAGAACUCGGGAGAGAGACGGCAGUUUCCUGAAAACCCAGGGACGACUUCUGUGUCUUGGGCUCUGAGGACCUUCUCUCUGGGACUCACAGCUGGGACGUCGAGCAUUUAUUGCGAACUAGUGGUGACUGGUGAGUGCUUCUGCGCGGAGGAAGUGGAAGAGGGAACACCUGAUUGAAGAAAAGAUGGUGUUGUGCCCUGACAGUCAACCUCCUGCACCAUGCAGCCCAAACAUGAGGAACCGAGGAAGU